UACGUAGGCAGCAAGCGUUGUUCGGAGUUACUGGGCGUAAAGGGUGUGUAGGCGGUUGUUUAAGUUUGGUGUGAAAUCUCCCGGCUCAACUGGGAGGGUGCGCCGAAUACUGAAUGACUUCGAGUGCGGGAGAGGAGAGUGGAAUUCCUGGUGUAGCGGUGAAAUGCGUAGAUAUCAGGAGGAAUACCGAUGGCGAAGGCAGGUCUCUGGGCUGACACUGACGCUCAUGCACGAAAGCGUGGGGAGCAAACAGG
rnacentral:rRNA from 1 species